UUCUACUCGUUUGUUAUUGUUAUUAUUAUUAUUAUUAUUUUUGUUUUAUUGCCUACUAGCAUUUUUCUAACCAUUAACAAGUAUCAGAAGAAGUGGUAGAAGUCUUAUGUAAUAGAUGGGAUACUUUAGGUUCUUUUAAGGGUUAGGUCCCAUGAACUUGUGGGGUUCCAUUCACCAGGAUAACAUGCCAUCAUCAUAAAUAACCACAAAAAUUCCUUGUCCUAGGAACAAAAUUCUCCAUUGUUGACAUUGACCUAGAAUCGGACGAUGAAUAUGCAUCUAGCCCCCUACCUCUCUCCACCACCCCAACAUCCCCCAUUGCGAAUAAGGCCAACACCUCUCACCCAUGGCUAGAGAUCACUCUUGCGGAUACAGAGCUUGACACUCUUUUUCAAGAAAAGUAGAAUGAAAUAGAGGUAGAAAGGGUCACCCCGAUAUUAGAAACACUCACACCAAUAAUGGCCAUCCAAAUCUUGGCACCAUGGCUAAAAGAACACCACAUGUGCAUCAUGGCUAUUUCAUCGGGGAAAAAGAAGCCCACUACGGCCAAGAAAUCGAGUAAACUAACUAGAGAGAUUGACCAAAGGCCCAACUUUGAUCAUGGCUAUUCCAUCCGAGCAUCUAAAUCAUGUGGAAUGACCCAACUUUGAUCAUUUCAAAAGUCACCAAAGGCUUAUACACCUUUAACCACACAUAUUACACGGGCUGAUAAUUACAGAUUUUGGAUUACAGGAAUCUAUGGUCCCUAUAGAUAUUACGGAAGACAUCUAUUCUGGCAAGAAUUACCGGACCUAUCAUGCCUAUGUAUAGAGAAUUGGCUUUUGGCGGGUGACUUCAAUAUCUCUCGAUGGGCACAUGAAAAAUCUAGUGGAAAAGUCCAGAGGCAUGAGACACUUCAACAAUUUCAUAAGAGAAGCUGAACUAAUCGACCUUCCCCUCAAUAAUGGACUCUAUACAUGGUCAAACAACAUAUUUUCACCCCCCUUGACACUCAUCGCUAAAUUCCUUGCCACAAAAGGCCUACUUAGAAAAUUUACUAACGUCGGUGUUCAAAGACUGAAUAGACCUACAUCUGAUUAUUAUCCCACCCUACUUUCCAUGGGGUGCUCUAAAUGGGGCCUUUCGCCCUUCCGAUUCGAGAAUAUGUGGUUGAACCAUUUUGAAUUUUUGCAAAUGGUAGAAUAUAGGUGGAAGAAUACGCCCCUCUGUGGAUGGUCGGGGCAUGAUUUCAUCAACAAACUUUAAAGACUAAAAGAAGUCUCAAAGAAAUGGAACAAGGAGGAAUUGUAUUUCCACAAAAAGAAACCAACUACUAAUUGAAAUUUCUCUCCUCGAUCAGAUGGAAGAAAUUGGCUCAAUUACACUAGUUCAACACAUACCAAAAAAAAAAAAAAAAGAAAAAUUCAUGAAAGCAGAACUUAUUAUGUUGGCAGCAAAGGAAGAGUACUCUUGGAGACAAAAAUGUAAAAUGAUGGUCAGAGGAGGGUGACACAAACUCCAAAUUUUUUCAUUAUAUCAUGGCUACAAAGAAACAUAAGAGUGCCAUCAUGGAAAUUCUAUCCACACAAGGCAGAAGUUUAGUAAACGAA